rnacentral:rRNA from 1 species
UACGUAGGGGGCUAGCGUUGUCCGGAUUUAUUGGCGUAAAGAGCGUGUAGGCGGCCAGGUAGGUCUGGUGUGAAAACUCGAGGCUUAACCUCGAGAUGUCAUCGGAAACCAUCUGGCUAGAGUCCGGAAGAGGAGAGUGGAAUUCCUGGUGUAGCGGUGAAAUGCGCAGAGUAUCAGGAAGAACACCAAUGGCGAAAGCAGCUCUCUGGGACGGUACUGACGCUGAGACGCGAAAGCGUGGGGAGCGAACAGGG